rnacentral:rRNA from 1 species
AGUGAACGCUGGCGGUAGGCCUAACACAUGCAAGUCGAACGGCAGCACAGUAAGAGCUUGCUCUUACGGGUGGCGAGUGGCGGACGGGUGAGGAAUACAUCGGAAUCUACUUUUUCGUGGGGGAUAACGUAGGGAAACUUACGCUAAUACCGCAUACGACCUACGUGUGAAAGCAGGGGAUCUUCGGACCUUGCGCGAUUGAAUGAGCCGAUGUCGGAUUAGCUAGUUGGCGGGGUAAAGGCCCACCAAGGCGACGAUCCGUAGCUGGUCUGAGAGGAUGAUCAGCCACACUGGAACUGAGACACGGGCCAGACACCUACGGGAGGCAGCAGUGGGGAAUAUUGGACAAUGGGCGCAAGCCUGAUCCAGCCAUACAGCGUGGGUGAAGAAGGCCUUCGGGUUGUAAAGCCCUUUUGUUGGGAAAGAAAAGCAGCAGGUUAAGACCCCGCUGUUCUGACGGUACCCAAAGAAUAAGCACCGGCUAACUUCGU